rnacentral:lncRNA from 7 species
ACCUAGGAUUGUGGUUAGCAGAUGUGGCGCCUGGCUCCUACAAGAUCGAGGAGAGGUGAUUGUUGCUUUGGUGGAGCUUCCGAUGGACGAUUUUUUUUCCAGACGUUGUGAUUUUCUUUUUUAUCUUGUUCUGAUAGCUAAGAUGUUUAUUUCGUAAGUGCUUGCUUUUCGGUGGAUUAGAGGAAGUUGGGUGGAAUUUCCUGUGAUUAUGUAUUGCAGUGUGGUUUGGGAGGAGGUCUUUUUUAAGGCAAUUGGGGAGGAAGUUACUAGGCCUGUAGGAUUGUUAAUUGUAUAAAGAUUUCUGAU